rfam:Parcubacteria bacterium GW2011_GWC2_44_22 TW45_C0026, whole genome shotgun sequence.
GGGUCGGUACGCGAAGCGGCCAAACGCACCUGGCUGUAAACCAGGCGGAUUUAUCCUUCGGGGGUUCGAAUCCCUCCCGGCCCA